AAGACAAAAACGCCGCUGGAAUACUCUCACGGUCGUCGGAAACGUGCUGAACAACUUGAUGUUCGCGCUGAAGUCUGGAACGGAGAAGAAACACCGUUGCAAAGCCGUUCGAAGUAGGUGUUCACGUCGCCGGUCAGAAUCCGCUGCUGAACGCGUAAAGUCGAUACGAUCGAGUGGUGGUUCGUCGAUCGUCGAAGGAGAAACGCGUCGAAGAGAGGAGGAAAUUUUGCCGCUCCCGCAAGUCGAACCUGAUCGGUG
rnacentral:misc_RNA from 1 species